CAGUCAUCAGAGAGACAGAAUCAGUUCAGCUGAGUUGUGAGACUCCUCCCUCUCUCCCUGUGUCUCACUGUUACUUCUACAUAGAGGGGGGGAAAAAUCUUCCUGACUCAUCGUGUACGCAGACAAUAACAGGAACUGAGCUGCUCAAGAGGUCUGGUCCAACAUUUCCAGCUCUGGUCAAAGUGACGUGCUACUAUGCUGUAGGGAAGUCUCAGACAUCUCCUUUAAGUAACCCUGUCUCAGUCACUGUUCAGGACCCACUUCCUCCCAGGCUGACAGUCAGCUCUACAGUCAUCAGAGAGAGAGACUCAGUUCAGCUGAGCUGUGACUCUCCUCCAUCUGUCUCUGUGUCUCACUGUUACCUCUACACAGAGGGGAGAGAUCCUAAACACUCACCCUGUACGAGGUCACUCACGGGGACUGAGCUGCUCUCGUGGGCAGGUCAAAGUUCAUCUGCUGAGAUCAAACUGAGAUGUUAUUACACAGUAGAAACUCACUUUCCAUCGAUGCACAGUGGUUCAGUCUCUGUUACUAUUCUUGAUCCAAAACCAGACAUAACAGUAAAUUUUGAUGAGGACUUCAACACCAUCUGUUUUAUUCCUGGAUCCGUCAGUUCUGACACCACCUGUAACCUGUAUGUUGGAGAGGAGAGUCAGCCAUCCUUCACAGCAAAGAUCUGGAAAGAAAAAAGCAAAGGUUCCAACAGUGGUUCUGUAGAUUCACUGUAAAUGAGAGUAAACUGGUAAGUCGUCUUCAGUCAGUGAGGCGUAAAGAGGUGAGCUGUGAUUACAGAGUGAGCUCAGGACCAAACUCCUCUCUCCACGCAGUGAUGGGAAAAG